rnacentral:rRNA from 1 species
CGGCGUGGAUAAGACAUGCAAGUCGAACGCUACUUAUUUUGUUAGCAAUAACGAAGUAAGUGGAGUGGCGAAAGGGUGCGUAACACGUGGGAAUUUACCAAGAAGUGGGGAAUAGCUCGACGAAAGUCGAAUUAAUACCGCAUAUGAUCGAAAGAUCAAAGUCGGGGACCGCAAGGCCUGACGCUUUUUGAGAAGCCCGCGGCCCAUCAGCUAGUUGGCGAGGUAAAAGCUCACCAAGGCUAUGACGGGUAGCUGGUCUGAGAGGACGACCAGCCACACUGGAACUGAGACACGGUCCAGACACCUACGGGUGGCAGCAGUCGAGAAUUUUUCACAAUGGACGAAAGUCUGAUGGAGCGACGCCGCGUGGAGGAUGAAGGUUUUCGGAUUGUAAAAUCGUGUCACUGCAGAACAAGGGUGCAUUUAUUAAUAG